CAUUACUUUCUGCUUUCUUGCAAUACUCAUUAACAUCUGUCACAAAAGGUCAACAAACUCAGAAAAUUUGCACAAAAAUGUAAUUAACAACAAGGAGGAGGUGAGCUUGGGAACCAGGCCUGGGAGAGGUAUGAAAUACCUUCAGAGUGGAAAGAAAGAGAGAGAGGCCAGGAGCUUGGAGUCAGUCUGGGGCUAUUUCUCAGGUUUUGGGAAAUCAAGGCCCACAGCACAGAAGGAGAAAGGCCUGCCUACGGUCACACAGCCAUUUAGUGAACAACUGUGAUUGGAGCUCAGCUUGCCUGACUUCUACUGUGGAACCAGCUCAUUCUCCUAUGCUUUUACCAGCUCCCUGUUUGACUUCAUCUAAAGGUCUUCAGAGUUUGUUUCUUCAA